rnacentral:misc_RNA from 1 species
AAGUCGUAACAAGGUUUCCGUAGGUGAACCUGCGGAAGGAUCAUUUCCAAUCCAAAACUUAUCAACCCACUGUGUGCACUGUCUUAAUUUUCACCUUUCUGAGAAACUAUAUUACAUUUUAUAAUGCAAUAUAGGAGUAUCAGAAAGAUAUAAUAUUACAUCCUUUUUUACACCCCAUGUAGAUCUUAUCGAAAAAAAUUAGUUUAAUCUAAAAAAACAACUUUUAACGGUGGAUCUCUUGGCUCGU